CAUAAUAUUCAAGAACCCACGCUGUCAUAUGUAUAAUAUUAAAUUGUUAUUAAAAAAAUGAUUAAUUGAUUUUUAUUUAAUUAAAAAAAAUUUUUAUUAGUUUCUUGUUUAAAAUAAAGUUCAACAGAUCAGUGACACAUGGGCAUUAAGGGUGUCAAUAAUUGGAGCAACAGCAUGUCAAUAGUUAGAUCAGUCGGGUUUUUAACCUGUCAAUAAUUGGUGUAUCCGGUGUCAAUAAUUGGUGCUUUUACUUUAAUUGAAAAAAUGAAAUUUUAAAAAAGCUGCAUUUACAUUCAUUAUGUAUGGAGACUAUAUACAGGAGACCAAACUCGUAUUAUAUACUCAAUUUAAAUGUCAAAAUAUCAAAGACCUAAGCUCACUAUGUACUAGUAAUUUUUCUCAUAAUUAAUAUUUUCUGAAACCCCUUCGGAGUAAAAUUCACUCCGAGGGAAUUAAAUAAAUAAAAAAUCAUCCACUUCGCAAAUUUUUUGGUGUAGCAAUUUUGUUAUAAUUUAUUUAAGGGUAUUCUCUUUUUAAUAAUAUGCAAUGACUUUCAACUGUCAUAACUGUAUUAAAAUUUUAUUAAUUAAUUAAAAAAAAAAAUUAAAGCAUUAACUGAAAUAAGGACAACGCAGUUACAACUUUGCCGAGAUCGAGAAUUUUUAAAAAAUUACUUACAGGUGACAUUAAUUGGGAGUUAAACAAAAUUUGUUGAAUAAAUUUCAGUA